ensembl:lncRNA
AGCAGGGGAGCUCCCACCCCGCUCCCUGUGUCCGGGCCUCCGACCGCCUGUAGAGCAGACUUGGGGUCCCCCAGGUCUCCUGGCCUCCCCCGACCCUGAGCAGUCACGGCUGCUUCUCAGGCUCAGGAUGGCAUUGGGCUCCGCCGCCCCCCAGGCGGCCCGCGGCCUCCGGAGCCGGCUGUGGGUUCCCACGGCGUCUGGCUCCACAAAUGUUUGCUGAAUGGAUGAAGGAGAGAUGCGGUUCCUGUCUCCUAUGUACCGGCUACUCGGGGCUCCCGGGGACACCCGGAGACAGGGCACACGUACUCACGUCAUUUACAGCCAGGCGGUCGUUUCAAGGGCGACGGCAGUGCUGAGGAACUCUCUGGGAUGGAGCUCGUGUGUGGAAGCCAGGACUGGAAUCCUGUCCAGAAGUGGGAGGCUGUGGAUCAGGGCGGCAGGAGGGGCCUGCUCUAGCUCUCCUUUAGUGGCUGAAAGAGCUGAGGGAAAGAGGCAGGCAGGUAACCAGAGGCUCUGGAGGACCGGCUCUAACUGUCUCAGAGCACAAGCUGCUGCUCUGAGAUGUCAUCGCCAGUGGAGAUCGCUUCUGGCACCACAAUCCCCGGAUCCUGCUCUGAUCUCGUCAAUCCUCUUGUCUUCGACUCUUUUAUUGCCACCAACCAGACUCCCCAGUAUAUCCCUACCCCUCGUCCUGAUAUUUCUCCAAGGACGCCUGGCCGGCAGUUCCUCUUGUGUCCUGGACACUUCCACUAGAUGCUCAUUCUGGAACCUCAAAUUCAAUUUGUCUGUAUCAAUUUGUCAGAAUCUUCGUCUGCAAAUUAAUUUGUCCUUUGCAAAUCUCAAACCUUCAACCGGCACUACAGCCCUUUUCAGUCCCUUUAUCCAGAAACUUGGGAGCCACACCCAGACCAUAACCAUGUGGAUCCAGGGGGUUCCACCCUGAAUAUCUCUUCCUUUUACCUUCUCCUCAUCAUCCCCACUGACCGCUCCUUGGGCUGAGCCUCCUCCCUCUCACAAGGGUCUCUUAUCUUGCUC